rnacentral:lncRNA from 1 species
CCUUCGACUAUAUACUUUGUCAGAAAAGAAACGUCCUGGACCAGCCCAUUGGCAGUCAAUCUCAAGUGUCUUGCGCCUUCGACUAUAUACUUUGUCAGAAAAAAAACGUCCUGGACCAGCCCAUUGGCAGUCAAUCUCAAGUGUCUUGCGCCUUCGACUAUAUACUUUUUCAGAAAA